rnacentral:lncRNA from 1 species
AAGCAGAAGAGGUAGUAUUUCCUUAUCAGAAGCAGCUGGGACUACUUGCAGGCACCCCUCAAGAGCCAGCCUGUCCCCAUGUGCAGGCUUGGAAGGAGGGCAGGAAGGGUCCAGAGAUCCUCACCUGAGAUUCUCAACUCCCUGCUGCUUCUCCUGCUCAGGUGUGUGAAUUAGAAGACACCAGUGGCUUUGGGAGCUCCCAGAAGUCUUCUUGGAAUCACAUGGGGAGUCAGACUUAGAUAAAGUAAACAUUGCAGAAGGUAAGGCCAAGGGGCAAAAAUAAAUGAGGCACUUGGGUAAAACAAAGCCUGAAACCAUACUUCUCCUUUGGACUUCUCAGUUAUAUGAGCCAAUAAAUCCCAUUCAUUAUUUAAGCAAGACUGAGUCAGGUUUUCAAAUGUGUACAAGUGAAAGCAUCCGGCACCUGCUUCCUUCCCUGCAUAACUAUCCCUCUGCUUUGGCUUAUAGUCUUUCAGAAAUAUAGAUUAAAAUCUGGUUUCAUGAUUCAGUAGCAGUGACCUAUAGCCUGGAAACUAGUUCUAGCUGACAUUUAAAAUAGGGAUAGGAGUGUAGCUUACUGGCAGAGCAUUUAGUUAGUCUUGGCUUCCAUCUCCAACAUUGAAAAGAAAAGGCACCUUUCAAAUAGAAUAGUCCUGCACAUGGGCUAUAUUGUGGGUUCAAGGCCAACCUGGACUACAGGAUGAGACCUCUUCUCAAAGCAAAACAAAUGAGGAAAUAGAAUAGGCCUACAUAACCAAAACCAAAUCUGAAAUGUCAAUAAACAUAUUUCAUUUCCCUUUAGCAUAGAAGGAGAAAGACACAAAGGAAUUAAGAAGCUGUCAAACAAGCCAGUCAUGGUGGCACACACCUUUAACCCUGGUACUUGGGAGGCAGAGGCAGGCAGAUCUUUGUGAGUUCGAGGCCAGCCUAAUCUACAAAGCAAGUUCUAGGAUAGCCCUAGCUGUUACACAGAGAAAUCCUAUCUCAAAAACAAACAAACAAAACAAACAAAAAUAAUUUUGUCAAACAAAA